UGGGGAAUAUUGGACAAUGGGCGAAAGCCUGAUCCAGCCAUGCCGCGUGUGUGAAGAAGGUCUUCGGAUUGUAAAGCACUUUAAGUUGGGAGGAAGGGCAGUAAGUUAAUACCUUGCUGUUUUGACGUUACCAACAGAAUAAGCACCGGCUAACUUCGUGCCAGCAGCCGUGGUAAUACGAAGGGUGCAAGCGUUAAUCGGAAUUACUGGGCGUAAAGCGCGCGUAGGUGGUUUGGUAAGAUGGAUGUGAAAUCCCCGGGCUCAACCUGGGAACUGCAUCCAUAACUGCCUGACUAGAGUACGGUAGAGGGUGGUGGAAUUUCCUGUGUAGCGGUGAAAUGCGUAGAUAUAGGAAGGAACACCAGUGGCGAAGGCGACCACCUGGACUGAUACUGACACUGAGGUGCGAAAGCGUGGGGAGCAAACA
rnacentral:rRNA from 1 species